CGCCUCUCGUGCUAGCAGCAGCAGCUUCUUCUUCGUUUAGUCUUUGUUUCUGUUAUUUUCUUAUUAAAUCGAUGGGAUAUUUUGUUUAUACACACGAUAAGUUAGGCAAAGAUGAUGAGUGCUUAAAUUUCUGACACCUCUUGUAUGAGAAGUGCCUGUAAAAGGGCUCUUCGUUGAGCACAGUUAGCAACUCUCUGAGCC
rnacentral:lncRNA from 1 species